GGAGAAGUACCCAAGUGGCUGAAGGGUCUGGCUUCGAACACCAGUAGGUCGAUAGCAUCGGCGCGAGGGUUCAAAUCCCUCCUUCUCCG
rnacentral:tRNA from 3 species